AAAAAAUCCUAAGAUUCUUGUUAAGUUGAAACAUUUUUUUAUAAGCUUGUCAAGCCGAAAUUUGGUAUUCUCUGCAGCUGAAAUGUUUACACUAAAUGAAUCGUUGUUUAUGUCGAUCUUAGGAUCAAU